rnacentral:lncRNA from 1 species
UCAGUACAGUUCUGUUCUAGUCAGUACAGUUCUGUUCUGGUCAGUACGGUUCUGUUCUGGUCAGUACGGCCCUGUUCUGGUCAGUACGGCCCUGUUCUAGUCAGUACGAUUCUGUUCUGGUCAGUACGGCCCUGUUCUAGUCAGUACAGUUCUGUUCUGGUCAGUACGGUUCUGUUCUGGUCAGUACGGCCCUGUUCUGGUCAGUACGGCCCUGUUCUAGUCAGUACGGUUCUGUUCUGGUCAGUACGGCCCUGUUCUAGUCAGUACAGUUCUGUUCUGGUCAGUGUGGUUCUGUUCUGGUCAGUGUGGUUCUGUUCUGGUCAGUAUGGUCCUGUUCUAGUCAGUACAUUCUGUUCUAGUCAGUACAGUUCUGUUCUGGUCAGUACGGUUCUGUUCUGGUCAGUACGGCCCUGUUCUGGUCAGUACGGCCCUGUUCUAGUCAGUACGAUUCUGUUCUGGUCAGUACGGCCCUGUUCUAGUCAGUACAGUUCUGUUCUGGUCAGUACGGUUCUGUUCUGGUCAGUACGGCCCUGUUCUGGUCAGUACGGCCCUGUUCUAGUCAGUACGGUUCUGUUCUGGUCAGUACGGCCCUGUUCUAGUCAGUACAGUUCUGUUCUGGUCAGUGUGGUUCUGUUCUGGUCAGUGUGGUUCUGUUCUGGUCAGUAUGGUCCUGUUCUAGUCAGUACAGUUCUGUUCUGGUCAGUACGGCCCUGUUCUAGUCAGUACAGUUCUGUUCUGGUCAGUACGGCCCUGUUCUGGUCAGUACGGCCCUGUUCUGGUCAGUGUGGUUCUGUUCUGGUCAGUGUGGUUCUGUUCUGGUCGAGUGGUACGGACCUGACACGUUGAGUGUGACCCGGUUCCUGAAGCCCAGCUGUGGGACCUUACAGUCGUACGGGCUGCUGUCUGACAGCUGGACCUUCUUCAUCUGGAUGGAGAAGUUUCCGGCUUGGUAUCUGUCGGGGAAGCUGCUCACUCGGUCUUUAUAUCUGUCACUCUGUGAUGAAAGGUCCGGUUCAUUCUUGAUGAUGUCCAGGACGGUGUUGUCGUCCUUGUCGGUCCAGUAGACGGAGGCGUCCUUCAGGGCCAGGCCGACCUCGCUGACGCUGCAGGUCAGCAGGACCGUUUCUCCCACAGAAGCGUUGACUUUGUUCUGGCAGCUCACUGACAGAACCCGGCAGGCGUCAGUCACAUUUACUUUACUGAACCAAGAAACGAUGCAGAUAUAAAACAUGUGUGUGUUUGGAUCGACUCACCUGGACUCAUUCUGCAGACGGAGAACAUCAACAGCAGAACAUGUGCACACCUGCAGAGACACGACACACAUCGGACCUUCACAUUCAACUGGGUCAAGUUCUGCUGGUGAAGACAAACACUGAUGAUUAUCAUCCAGUGAGUUCAGUCUGUUAUUGUUCUUGUUAAUAUCUGUAUGUGACACGGCUCCUCACUGACAUCUUCAUUAAAUCAGUUAACUCGGUACGUGGAUGAUCGUAAAGAGGACGGAGGAGCAGAAUGAAGUUUCUACGUUUAAAUCUCAGCACAUGAUGAGAAAUAACAACAAACCAUCAGACGUGUUUCAUCAGCUGUCACACCAGACGAGACUUUAUCUUCAUAUCUUAUUUAUAUUAUAUCUUAUAUAUAUAUUAUAUAAUAUCUUCAUGUUGAGGACGAAAUACUGAUCAACUUUUUUCCAAUAAAAUGAUCAUCAUUGAAGUGAUCGGUCGCGGCAGACAUCUUGUUUCAAGAACUGAACCCGACACACCAAGAAGUUGGUUGUUGUUGUUUGUGGACUUGAUCACAGCAGAGUGCCGACCCGGCCGCUCCACCUGAGAGUCAGUCAGCGCACCUGCAGACUGAUCGAGGACUUCCUGAUUCUGGGUCACAGACCAUCAGGCUCCCCGUCCAGAGGUGGUGAGAGUCGCUCUACAGAGCUCUCUGGUGAGGAAGGUGCAGAAACAUGGACGCCCAACAUUAGGCCCGGUUCUGCUCCAAGGUUUCUGCCCGUUAAAGGAAGUUUCUGUGCUGCUCAUAUGGGAAAUUAUUCUAUAAGAUAAACUGAUGCCUUCAUUUACCUUGACAAUAAUUUCUGGUGCAUUUUGUGGCAUAUUAAUUAAUUGAUUUAAUAAUAAUUUGUUUCCUUCAUUUCCUUGUUAUUCUGCCAGUCUGCCUCCUCAUGUUUGUCCUCGUGUUUGUCUUCAGUCACUGAGGACAGGAAGAGAAACGGAUCCUCACACAGUCCACAGACACUCAGUCAACAUGGACACAGGUGAGUUCUGUGCCUGAACAAACAGGUAACAGGUCAGAGGUCAGUUUCUAUCUUCAGUGAAGCUGCUAUGGAUUAAUCAGUGACAGACUGAGGCCUCAGAUCUCACACACACGCACACACACACACACACAUAUAUGUGUAUAUAUAUAUAUAUACAUAUAUAUAUAUAUAUAUAUAUAUAUCUCCAUACUAUAUAUCCAUACUAUCCACUUAUUUCAGCUCGGUGCGGUUCGCUGUUCGGCCUCUUCGGCUGUUAAUUAACAUUUCUAAGUGAGUCGGCCCGUUAACGCAGCCUGGGCUCGGUCCGUGUGGAGCUUCAGGUCCGAUAGUCCCGUCGGCUCCUUCCGGCUUCUUACAGGUUCUGACAGUCACCAUCUUUAAAUGGUGAACGAUGUUUACUGUAAACAGAUGGUUAGGGUUGGAUGCUAACAGCUAGCUGAGUUAGCCUCGCUCGGGGCUGGCUCGGUGGUUUAACAGGACCCCGAGGCUUCAGGCCCGGUUCUGGACUGACCUCUGUGACGGGCUCAUGUCGGUUCCGAAGUCCACAGUGUAGUUUCACUCGCGUUCACCUGCUUUUACUUUCCCCCGCGGUUAGCUGCUAGCUGUUAGCUGCUAGCUCCUACACACUGCGCACUUCACUUUUCCGACAUGACGUCACCAUGUACGUCAUCACGUAAAGGCCGUGAGGUUAGUUUGACCAUAGUUCCGAUCAGAUCGAUCACUUUUAAACAUUUGAAUAUUAACUGGAUGUUACAGGAGUCCGAUGAGAUGUUUAUGAUGACGUCAUUAUCUGUAACAUACAUUAUAGAGGCCACGCCCCUAAUUCUGUUCUGAUAAAGUCUUGAUCCUGUCUGAACUGGGUCAGGAAUCUCACACAUGUUUGUCAGUUUGUUGUAAUUAAAGUCUCAUCGACACGUCACCAGAACCAACAUGGAGCCAACUGGGUCAGAACAGGUCCAGAACAAUUCAUCACAAUGAAUCUGCUCAUAUUGACAACUGCAGUUCUGUUAGAGGAGAGCUGGUUCUGGUUCAGUUCUGUGUUGGCUGUGUCGUCACUAACUACACUGUGACACCGUUGGCUGUGUCGUCACUAACAACACUGUGACACCGUUGGCUGUGACGUCACUAACUACACUGUGACACCGUUGGCUG